GGGUUGUGAGGUUAAGCGACUAAGCGUACACGGUGGAUGCCCUGGCAGUCAGAGGCGAUGAAGGACGUGCUAAUCUGCGAAAAGCGUCGGUAAGGUGAUAUGAACCGUUAUAACCGGCGAUGUCCGAAUGGGGAAACCCAGUGUGAUUCGUCACACUAUCGUUAACUGAAUACAUAGGUUAACGAGGCGAACCGGGGGAACUGAAACAUCUAAGUACCCCGAGGAAAAGAAAUCAACCGAGAUUCCCCCAGUAGCGGCGAGCGAACGGGGAGCAGCCCAGAGUCUGAAUCAGCUUGUGUGUUAGUGGAACGGUCUGGAAAGUCCGACGGUACAGGGUGAUAGUCCCGUACACCAAAAUGCACAGGCUGUGAACUCGAAGAGUAGGGCGGGACACGUGGUAUCCUGUCUGAAUAUGGGGGGACCAUCCUCCAAGGCUAAAUACUCCUGACUGACCGAUAGUGAACCAGUACCGUGAGGGAAAGGCGAAAAGAACCCCGGCGAGGGGAGUGAAAAAGAACCUGAAACCGUGUACGUACAAGCAGUGGGAGCACCUUCGGGUGUGACUGCGUACCUUUUGUAUAAUGGGUCAGCGACUUAUAUUCUGUAGCAAGGUUAACCGUAUAGGGGAGCCGCAGGGAAACCGAGUCUUAACUGGGCGUUAAGUUGCAGGGUAUAGACCCGAAACCCGGUGAUCUAGCCAUGGGCAGGUUGAAGGUUGGGUAACACUAACUGGAGGACCGAACCGACUAAUGUUGAAAAAUUAGCGGAUGACUUGUGGCUGGGGGUGAAAGGCCAAUCAAACCGGGAGAUAGCUGGUUCUCCCCGAAAGCUAUUUAGGUAGCGCCUCGUGAACUCAUCUUCGGGGGUAGAGCACUGUUUCGGCUAGGGGGUCAUCCCGACUUACCAACCCGAUGCAAACUACGAAUACCGAAGAAUGUUAUCACGGGAGACACACGGCGGGUGCUAACGUCCGUCGUGAAGAGGGAAACAACCCAGACCGCCAGCUAAGGUCCCAAAGUCAUGGUUAAGUGGGAAACGAUGUGGGAAGGCACAGACAGCCAGGAUGUUGGCUUAGAAGCAGCCAUCAUUUAAAGAAAGCGUAAUAGCUCACUGGUCGAGUCGGCCUGCGCGGAAGAUGUAACGGGGCUAAACCAUGCACCGAAGCUGCGGCAGCGACACUAUGUGUUGUUGGGUAGGGGAGCGUUCUGUAAGCCUGCGAAGGUGACCUGUGAGGGUUGCUGGAGGUAUCAGAAGUGCGAAUGCUGACAUAAGUAACGAUAAAGCGGGUGAAAAGCCCGCUCGCCGGAAGACCAAGGGUUCCUGUCCAACGUUAAUCGGGGCAGGGUGAGUCGACCCCUAAGGCGAGGCCGAAAGGCGUAGUCGAUGGGAAACAGGUUAAUAUUCCUGUACUUGGUGUUACUGCGAAGGGGGGACGGAGAAGGCUAUGUUAGCCGGGCGACGGUUGUCCCGGUUUAAGCAUGUAGGCUGAUUAUCCAGGCAAAUCCGGAUAAUCAAGGCUGAGGUGUGAUGACGAGGCACUACGGUGCUGAAGUAACAAAUGCCCUGCUUCCAGGAAAAGCCUCUAAGCAUCAGGUAACAUCAAAUCGUACCCCAAACCGACACAGGUGGUCAGGUAGAGAAUACCAAGGCGCUUGAGAGAACUCGGGUGAAGGAACUAGGCAAAAUGGUGCCGUAACUUCGGGAGAAGGCACGCUGGUGUGUAGGUGAAGUCCCUGCGGAUGGAGCUGAGACCAGUCGAAGAUACCAGCUGGCUGCAACUGUUUAUUAAAAACACAGCACUGUGCAAACACGAAAGUGGACGUAUACGGUGUGACGCCUGCCCGGUGCCGGAAGGUUAAUUGAUGGGGUUAUCCGUAAGGAGAAGCUCUUGAUCGAAGCCCCGGUAAACGGCGGCCGUAACUAUAACGGUCCUAAGGUAGCGAAAUUCCUUGUCGGGUAAGUUCCGACCUGCACGAAUGGCGUAAUGAUGGCCAGGCUGUCUCCACCCGAGACUCAGUGAAAUUGAACUCGCUGUGAAGAUGCAGUGUACCCGCGGCAAGACGGAAAGACCCCGUGAACCUUUACUAUAGCUUGACACUGAACAUUGAGCCUUGAUGUGUAGGAUAGGUGGGAGGCUUUGAAGCGUGGACGCCAGUCUGCGUGGAGCCAACCUUGAAAUACCACCCUUUAAUGUUUGAUGUUCUAACGUUGGCCCCUUAUCGGGGUUGCGGACAGUGUCUGGUGGGUAGUUUGACUGGGGCGGUCUCCUCCCAAAGCGUAACGGAGGAGCACGAAGGUUAGCUAAUCCUGGUCGGACAUCAGGAGGUUAGUGCAAUGGCAUAAGCUAGCUUGACUGCGAGCGUGACGGCGCGAGCAGGUGCGAAAGCAGGUCAUAGUGAUCCGGUGGUUCUGAAUGGAAGGGCCAUCGCUCAACGGAUAAAAGGUACUCCGGGGAUAACAGGCUGAUACCGCCCAAGAGUUCAUAUCGACGGCGGUGUUUGGCACCUCGAUGUCGGCUCAUCACAUCCUGGGGCUGAAGUAGGUCCCAAGGGUAUGGCUGUUCGCCAUUUAAAGUGGUACGCGAGCUGGGUUUAGAACGUCGUGAGACAGUUCGGUCCCUAUCUGCCGUGGGCGCUGGAGAAUUGAGGGGGGCUGCUCCUAGUACGAGAGGACCGGAGUGGACGCAUCACUGGUGUUCGGGUUGUCAUGCCAAUGGCACUGCCCGGUAGCUAAAUGCGGAAGAGAUAAGUGCUGAAAGCAUCUAAGCACGAAACUUGCCCCGAGAUGAGUUCUCCCUGAGACUUUAAGUCUCCUGAAGGAACGUUAAAGACGAUGACGUUGAUAGGCCGGGUGUGUAAGCGCAGCGAUGCGUUGAGCUAACCGGUACUAAUGAACCGUGAGGCUUAACCUUACAACGCCGAAG
rnacentral:rRNA from 2 species